rnacentral:rRNA from 1 species
GACGAACGCUGGCGGCGUGCUUAACACAUGCAAGUCGAACGGGAUGAUCUUAAAGCUUGCUUUUAGAGAAUCUAGUGGCAAACGGGUGAGUAACACGUAGACAACCUGCCGACAGGAUGGGGACAACAUUCCGAAAGGAAUGCUAAUACCGAAUGAAGUCAGAGAAGGGCAUCCUUUUCUGAUGAAAGAUGGCCUCUUUUUAUGCUAUCACCUGUUGAUGGGUCUGCGUCUGAUUAGCUAGUUGGUGAGGUAACGGCUCACCAAGGCGACGAUCAGUAGCCGGUCUGAGAGGAUGAACGGCCACAUUGGGACUGAGACACGGCCCAGACUCCUACGGGAGGCAGCAGUGGGGAAUCUUCCGCAAUGGGCGCAAGCCUGACGGAGCAACGCCGCGUGAGUGAAGAAGGUCUUCGGAUCGUAAAGCUCUGUUGACGGGGACGAACGUGCGGAGUGCGAAUAGC